rnacentral:rRNA from 1 species
GAUGAACGCUGGCGGCGUGCCUAAUACAUGCAAGUCGAGCGAACAGAUGAGGAGCUUGCUCCUCUGACGUUAGCGGCGGACGGGUGAGUAACACGUGGAUAACCUACCUAUAAGACUGGGAUAACUUCGGGAAACCGGAGCUAAUACCGGAUAAUAUAUUGAACCGCAUGGUUCAAUAGUGAAAGACGGUUUUGCUGUCACUUAUAGAUGGAUCCGCGCCGCAUUAGCUAGUUGGUAAGGUAACGGCUUACAAAGGCAACGAUGCGUAGCCGACCUGAGAGGGUGAUCGGCCACACUGGAACUGAGACACGGUCCAGACUCCUACGGGAGGCAGCAGUAGGGAAUCUUCCGCAAUGGGCGAAAGCCUGACGGAGCAACGCCGCGUGAGUGAUGAAGGUCUUCGGAUCGUAAAACUCUGUUAUUAGGGAAGAACAAAUGUGUAAGUAACUAUGCACGUCUUGACGGUACCUAAUCAGAAAGCCACGGCUAACUACGUG